UACGCAGGGGGCUAGCGUUGUUCGGAAUCACUGGGCGUAAAGCGCACGCAGGCGGCUUGAUAAGUCAGGGGUGAAAUCCCGGAGCUCAACUUCGGAAUUGCCUUUGAUACUGUCAAUCUCGAGUCCGGGAGAGGUGAGUGGAAUUCCUAGUGUAGAGGUGAAAUUCGUAGAUAUUAGGAAGAACACCAGUGGCGAAGGCGGCUCACUGGCCCGGUACUGACGCUCAUGUGCGAAAGCGUGGGGAGCAAACAGG
rnacentral:rRNA from 1 species